ensembl:lncRNA
CACUCAUCAUCGUGUCUUUUGAUAAGAGAUAUUUUUGUGCCAUUUUUUCACUUUAUUGCAAUUUAUGGAACUCCUAGCUAGAAUCGUAAGUUUUCAAUGUGAACCCCCAGACUCCUUGCCCCAGUGCCCGUGUCUACUGGGAGAACUGGCUUAUGAGCGUGGGCUUUGGGUAGGAUGAUGGGGCUUCACAGGCGCUGGGGCACAAAGUACAAAGGUUAGGGCUUGGUUUCCUCAGCUUCCCCAGAAGACCCCACUUGGAGGACUGUUAGCUGCCCGCUGUGUGUGUGGUUCUCCAUCCCAAAGAGCUUGGCUUCAGUCUCAGUUAGGAGAGUUGGGGCGGGUCCGGAAGGGAGUGGGAGAACCAGGCAGAGUGAAUUUUUUCCACGAUGCCCUUGUGGCUGUAUUUCUUCCUUACCUCAGGUAGCCAGACAACUCCUUGUUUCAGGACAAGGUGGCAACACUUUCACAGUGUGAUUUAAUAUACAGAUAUUGCAAUUAACUGGGAAUACAUUUUAACCUUCUCUUCUUUAUGUCAAUAUCUUGUUUUCCUGCUAGAGUAGGAUAGAAUGUCAAAAAGAAAUAAGUGACCUUGAGGACCAGGCUGACCUUAAGGAGCUCCACCAUUAUUGUCCUAAACACUAUUUGGCAAAAGCGUUGACAAUCUCAGAGGGACCUGACAAAGGCCAGAUGCUGUGGAGGACACUAAAAUCAGCCCCAGAUUUACCCUGGGGUUGGGAAGCAUGGAGGAACACCAUCUGCUAGCUUUCCACCUCUAUUAAAUUGCUGCCACAGUGAGUUGCUGCUAACUAGUGAAAUGGACUCAUUUGAGUCUGCGUUCUUUCUCCUUCCUUGUCCUCUCAUGGCAGUGAGUGUGAUUAGUGAACGCAUAGAGGUCAGGCUCCAGAAAGUUCUAGAGUAUGGGAGGUUGAGUCUGGAGCACUGAUCAAGCAUCAUCAGAACCCAAGACUCUUCAGUGCUUGGAAGAGUCAGUCAGGAGAUUCUGACACUUUUAAAAUUCAAAUUAAUUACACUGUGAUUCUUUAUUUUCAAAAUUAAGGAAGCUGGCAAAAAAAUGACAUUCCAAUAAGGUGGAAUGAAAUAGAAACGGAAAAUUAGAACCAAAGAAAAUGAGUCCAAGGAUAUGCUAAUUGUAAGUAAUUUGCCUUGAUUAAGACUUAAAUUUGGCUCCAGCCUUCAUGGAAGCCCAGAGAAAGGGAAAUAGGACAAGUUGCAUGUUCUUCACAGGUCCUUGGAGGAGACAAAGCUGAUCAAGCACCAAGUCAGAGGAUGGGAUUUUUAAGGGGCUGUAAUGAAAAGAUUUUUGCAUUCCCCCUCCUGGAUUCCUCCUUAAAAGAGGGACCCAUGGCAAAUUACUAACCCUUGGUAGUACAGUCCAGUUUCCUCCUCAUUCUCAAAUGGGGUUAAUAGUAACUACUCUGCAGGUUGUUGGGAGGAUUAAAUGAGAGGCUUGGUAGAGAGUACAUUUGCAUGACUGUUAGUUGGAAUCAACCUAACUUCUAUUGGUGGAGGAAUGGUUAAAUGAAGUAUGAUACACUUUUAUCAUAACAUAGCGCAUCCUUCCUCAUGCUUCACCCCUCCCAACCCCACACGCCGUCAAUGACUCUGCAGUUUCUCCCAGGAAAGGCAGAGUAUAUUUCCUCACCCGACUAGUAUUGAACUUGGCCAUGUGAUUUGCUUUGGCCAAUGAAAUGGGGACAGAAGUGACAAUGUACUGAGCCCAGACCUAGGGGCAUUAUGUAUUUCCUUUGACCCCUCUUGAGAGUCUGCCAUCACCAUAAGACUAUGAUCUGCUAGUUUUUUUGGUCCAAGGAUGAUAACAAACACACGGAGCAGACUGGACCCAACCUGAACUUCAGAACCCAGAUGAGCCCAGCUGACUGAGACCCUCAGUGUGAGCGGAAAAAAAGGAAAAAGUUGUGGCAUGUGGGACGCUGUCUCAGCGUGGCUUGAUGAGCAGUGCCAUGUCUACACCCAGGAUUCGAACCAACAAAACACUGGACCGCCUGCAGCGGAGCGUGCGAACUUAACCUCUCAGCCACGGGGCUAGCCCUGAAAAGUAUAUACAUUUUUAAAAGACUG